rnacentral:rRNA from 1 species
GAUGAACGCUGGCGGCGUGCUUAACACAUGCAAGUCGAACGGAAAGGCUCCUGCUUGCAGGGGUACUCGAGUGGCGAACGGGUGAGUAACACGUGGGUGAUCUGCCCUGCACUUCGGGAUAAGCCUGGGAAACUGGGCCUAAUACCGGAUAGGACGAUGGCUUGGAUGCCAUUGUGGAAAGUUUUUCGGUGUGGGAUGAGCUCGCGGCCUAUCAGCUUGUUGGUGGGGUAAUGGCCUACCAAGGCGUCGACGGGUAGCCGGCCUGAGAGGGUGUACGGCCACAUUGGGACUGAGAUACGGCCCAGACUCCUACGGGAGGCAGCGGUGGGGAAUAUUGCACAAUGGGCGCGAGCCUGAUGCAGCGACGCCGCGUGGGGGAUGACGGCCUUCGGGUUGUAAAAUCCUUUCGCUAGGGACGAAGCGCAAGUGACGGUACCUGGAGAAGAAGCACCGGCUAACUACGUG